CACUCCUACGGGAGGCAGCAGUGGGGAAUUUUGGACAAUGGGCGAAAGCCUGAUCCAGCAAUGCCGCGUGUGUGAAGAAGGCCUUCGGGUUGUAAAGCACUUUUGUCCGGAAAGAAAUCCUUGGCUCUAAUACAGUCGGGGGAUGACGGUACCGGAAGAAUAAGCACCGGCUAACUACGUGCCAGCAGCCGCGGUAAUACGUAGGGUGCGAGCGUUAAUCGGAAUUACUGGGCGUAAAGCGUGCGCAGGCGGUUUGCUAAGACCGAUGUGAAAUCCCCGGGCUCAACCUGGGAACUGCAUUGGUGACUGGCAGGCUAGAGUAUGGCAGAGGGGGGUAGAAUUCCACGUGUAGCAGUGAAAUGCGUAGAGAUGUGGAGGAAUACCGAUGGCGAAGGCAGCCCCCUGGGCCAAUACUGACGCUCAUGCACGAAAGCGUGGGGAGCAAACAGGAUUAGAAACCCAGUAGUCCCAUGA
rnacentral:rRNA from 1 species